AUACUUACCUGGCGUAGGGGAUACCGUGAUCAUGCAAGCGGUUUCCCCCAGGGCGAGACUGCUCCAUUGUACUGCAAAGUGGUUGAGCCUUGCGAUUAAUUUUAUUUUAUCAAUAAAAAAUCAUAAUAAAAAAUGUGUACCCGAAUAAUUAUUUUCUUUAUAC
rnacentral:snRNA from 9 species